AGAGCGAACGCUGGCGGCAGGCCUAACACAUGCAAGUCGAGCGCCCGUAGCAAUACGGGAGCGGCAGACGGGAUAGUAACACGUGGGAACGCGCCCUUCGGUUCGGAAUAACUCAGGGAAACUUGAGCUAAUACCGAAUACGCCCUUACGGGGAAAGAUUUAUUGCCGAAGGAACGGCCCGCGUCCGAUUAGCUAGUUGGUGAGGUAAUGGCUCACCAAGGCUACGAUCGGUAGCUGGUCUGAGAGGAUGACCAGCAUCACUGGGACUGAGACACGGCCCAGACUCCUACGGGAGGCAGCAGUGGGGAAUAUGGACAAUGGGCGCAAGCCUGAUCCAGCCAUGCCGCGUGGGUGAAGAAGGCCUUCGGGUUGUAAAGCCCUUUUGUUGGGAGAAUCGUACGGUUGAAUAUUCCGUGCGGAUGACGGUACCCAAAGAAUAAGCACCGGCUAACUUCGUGCCAGCAGCCGC
rnacentral:rRNA from 1 species